UUGCCUCAGUACGGCGAGUGAAGCGGCAAAAGCUCAAAUUUGAAAUCUAGCACCUUCGGUGUUCGAGUUGUAAUUUGAAGAUGGUAACCUUGGGUUUGGCUCUUGUCUAUGUUCCUUGGAACAGGACGUCAUAGAGGGUGAGAAUCCCGUCUGAUGAGAUGCCCAUUCCUAUGUAAGGUGCUAUCGAAGAGUCGAGUUGUUUGGGAAUGCAGCUCUAAGUGGGUGGUAAAUUCCAUCUAAAGCUAAAUAUUGGCGAGAGACCGAUAGCGAACAAGUACAGUGAUGGAAAGAUGAAAAGAACUUUGAAAAGAGAGUGAAAAAGUACGUGAAAUUGUUGAAAGGGAAGGGCAUUAGAUCAGACUUGGUGUUUUACGAUUAUCUUCUCUUCUUGAGUUGUGCACUCGUAUUUCACUGGGCCAGCAUCGAUUCGGAUGGCAAGAUAAUGGCAGUUGAAUGUGGCUUCACUUCGGUGGAGUGUUAUAGCUUCUGCUGAUAUUGCCUGUCUGGAUCGAGGGCUGCGUCUUUUGACUAGGAUGCUGGCGUAAUGAUCUAAUGCCGCCCGUCUUGAAA
rnacentral:rRNA from 1 species